AAAACCAGGACAAAUCCUGAUUUAUCAGGACACCUGGCACCUCUGAUGACAGCUGUCACGACUGCCAGCAGUUUUCAGCAGUAGAAAAAAAAAGAAAAAGAAGAAGAAAUUUAAUUUGGUGAAAAAAUUUAAAUCAACAGCAAUUUCGCACGAAUUUUUGAUGCUGUAGAUCAACAAUUCGCGCGAAAUUACUGUCUUAUCUCCCGCAAUGGACCAGGGAGCCGGCGCACCGAAGGCUGGACUCAGUACAGCCCAACAGUUAGGCCAAGCGAUGCAAAAAUUGCAGUGUUGCCGUAAGCUGCUUAUUUAUACGCAGCCCGAGUUCCCCGACCGUGGGGACUGCCCUCACUGGUGUUGGCCAUGCAGUGUAGAUUUCUGACCUGUGUUGCCUAUGUAUGCUGAACAGAGAACCAAUUAAAAAGAUGCUGUACGCAGAAUACACUAAAUGUAAGUUAAAAUAAUAAAAUAAAAUAUAUAGUGAAAUCAAA